GUGGGGAAUAUUGGGCAAUGGGCGAAAGCCUGACCCAGCAACGCCGCGUGAAGGAAGAAGGUCUUCGGAUCGUAAACUUCUAUCCUUGGUGAAGCUAAUGACGGUAGCCGAGAAGGAAGCCCCGGCUAACUACGUGCCAGCAGCCGCGGUAAUACGUAGGGGGCAAGCGUUGUCCGGAAUGAUUGGGCGUAAAGGGCGCGUAGGCGGCCUGGUAAGUCUGGAGUGAAAGUCCUGCUUUUAAGGUGGGAAUUGCUUUGGUGACUGUCGGGCUUGAGUGCAGGAGAGGUAAGUGGAAUUCCAGGUGUAGCGGUGAAAUGCGUAGAGAUCGGGAGGAACACCAGUGGCGAAGGCGACUUACUGGACUGUAACUGACGCUGAGGCGCGAAAGUGUGGGGAGCAAACAGGAUUAGAUACCCGAGUAGUCC
rnacentral:rRNA from 1 species